rnacentral:rRNA from 1 species
GACGAACGCUGGCGGCGUGCUUAAACAUGCAAGUCGAACGGUGAAGCGCCUUCCUUUUUGGUGGGUGUGGAUGAGUGGCGAACGGGUGAGUAACACGUGAGUAACCUGCCCCCUUCUUCUGGAUAACCGCAUGAAAGUGUGGCUAAUCCGGGAUAUUCUGGGUCUGUCGCAUGAUGGGUCUGGGAAAGAUAUUGUUUCGGUGGGGGAUGGGCUCGCGGCCUAUCAGCUUGUUGGUGGGGUGAUGGCCUACCAAGGCGGUGACGGGUAGCCGGCCUGAGAGGGUGGACGGUCACACUGGGACUGAGACACGGCCCAGACUCCUACGGGAGGCAGCAGUGGGGAAUAUUGCGCAAUGGGCGCAAGCCUGAUGCAGCGACGCCGCGUGAGGGAUGGAGGCCUUCGGGUUGUGAACCUCUUUCGCCAGUGAAGCAGGCCUGCCUCGUUUGUGGGUGGGUUGACGGUAGCUGGAUAAGAAGCGCCGGCUAACUACGU